GUGCUAGUGUGAAGGGGUUCACAUGCUGUGAACUAGGUGGCUCACACCAGUGUUUCGGACAGCGGUUCGAUUCCGCUCAGCUCCAUUCUCCACGGGGCUGCAAUGGUUUCGACGGGGCAUGAGGAGGGUGACUGAAGCCUGCUCGGUCAGAGCAACUUCGUAACAGCGAACAACAUCGUUCGUUUCUCCCGCCAGGCCGCCCCUGUUGCUGCCUGAGCCCAAGGGAGAUGGGGCGAGGUCAGCCUUAUCAACAAAAUGACCCAUGGGGGCUGAGAGGCCCC
rnacentral:tmRNA from 8 species